GGUUCUGACUGAGAGUCACAGCCUCAGAGGCAACGUAAACAAGCGUUAUAUUUCUCUAUAAACGAUGGUGUCUGUACUGCCUUACCACUUCGAGCUCGAUCCAGAGAGUUCAGACGGCCGUUAUGAUAUAAAGGAUCUCCGUCAAUGAAUGCGAUUGGAUUUAACUUUUUUAGGUGUCCUUAGCUCUGCCAGAAUGCUAAACGAAGACGAAAAUGUGUUGCAAAAACAUCCAAAAGGUUUUAAGGAGAAUGCAACAGGUUCCAGGGCCUUUUACCUGCGUGAUUCAUCAUCCAGAUAUGCUUGGAGCUUC